UGCAAGUGUCUUUUUUAAUCAAGCAAAUACCUAGAGCUAACCUAUUCAUAUAGUUGAAACAUAGGGGAUCUGGACACAUUUGGACAGGAUGCUAAUCUUAGCCCACUUGUCAUUGCUGCUUCUUUUGGGAAGCCAAGAUUCAGUAACCUGUACCGACCUGCAGAAACAGCAUGAAGUCAUCCAUGCAGCAGUUGGAGAACCUUUAGUGUUGAACUGCACCUACAACUGCUCCUCUGGAUUUGUCCGUGGACACUGGCUCAAACUCCCAGACUGUCUUCGUUGUCCUAGGCCAAGGGAAACAAAAAAUGUCACAAAGAAUGGUGACCUCUGCACUCUACCAUUGUAUUUUCCACAUCUGUCCAGGGAAGAUUUUCAGUACAACUAUACCUGCUUUUCUGAAGAUCAUGAAAGCGAACAGUUCCCACGCAAGAUAGAGUGUCUGGUAUCACUGCAAGCACAAGAUGAAUCGGUGACAGCGUUGGGUAACCAUGAGGACUCCAUAAUAGAUCAUGAGAAAUUCACAGGCGUCAAGGUGUUGGCAACAGUGACAGUUAUUGUGGCUGCGGUGUUGGCAGCCGUGUCUGUCUCCUUAUGUAUGAGCCGCAAUCGAUAUUGCAAAGGUGCUUAUAGAUGUUGUAAAAACAAUUAUGAAGGCCCAAUUUCUGAAUCAAAAAUGUUAUAAAAUACUUUCCAAAGUUGUUAUUAACAAAAAUCGACAGUAUGUUUCAUUAAUGUGAUUUCUUGUGUAUUUUAGGAAAACCUGCUGUUAUCUGCACAGGGUAUGUUUUUUUCAUACAAUGUGGUAUGUUUGCUAAGGCAUUUUAACACACUUUUCAUUGGCAAUUAGUAUGCAGACUCCUUAUGUGGAAUUUGUUUAUUGGUCUU